rnacentral:rRNA from 1 species
AUUGAACGCUGGCGGCAGGCCUAACACAUGCAAGUCGAACGAGUGGCGGACGGGUGAGUAAUGUCUGGGAAACUGCCUGAUGGAGGGGGAUAACUACUGGAAACGGUAGCUAAUAUCGCCUACCAUCGGAUGUGCCCAGAUGGGAUUAGCUCGUAGGUGGGGUAAAGGCUCACCUAGUCGGCGAUCCCUAGCUGGUCUGAGAGGAUGACCAGCCACACUGGAAAUGAGACACGGGCCAGACACCUAAGGGAGGCAGCAGUGGGGAAUAUAGCACAAUGGGCGCAAGCCUGAUGCAGCCAUGCCGCGUGUAUGAAGAAGGCCUGCGGGUUGGAAAGUACUUUCAGCGGGGAGGCGUUACCCGAAGAAGAAGCACCGGCUAACUCCGUGCCAGCCGCCGCGGUAAUUC